UUGGGACACCCUUCCAGAUUGUCUCAUGGAAAUAACUCAUUCCUGCCCUCAUCUCAUCUUGGGGAGUUGGAGGGGUCCUUCGAAUCUCAUCUGUCCGAAAUGCAGCUUGAAUCUCACGCUGUAAAGCCUCAUCAAGCUCCUGCUUAUCAUCUGGAGUAAUGUCUUUGGCAUAUAAUUGUGCCAAACAAUUACGUAUCCUUGCGUGCUUUUGAAGCAAAGAUCUACGGACUGAUUGAGUAGGAUGAGCAGUCAAGACAAGAUCUACAGUCUGAUUCUUCAGUGCAUCAAAAACUUCUUCAGGAGACUUUUUCAUAUCAACAACAAGUCUCUUGAGAGUUUCUUCAAUGUCUGAUUCAGUGGUUGCAGAGUUCUCAUCAGCAAAAUCUCCCUUUUUUAACUU
rnacentral:misc_RNA from 1 species